CUUGUCUGUCUCUCUGGCUUGAACACUUCACUGUGAGUCUACUGCCUUUAGUCAGUGGACACCUUCUCGCCUGUGAAUCCUCAGAACAAAUUGACAGAAUGAUUGAUCUGCAAAAUUUAAAGCAGCCGUCAGUAGCCAUCAAGGCAAUUGAAAUCGUCCUCUUGAUCAUCGC